rnacentral:lncRNA from 1 species
GGCUCCCAGCUGAGCAGACAGCCCGAUAUGGGGCUCCAUCCCAGGACCCUGGGAUCAUGACCUGAGCCAAAGGCUCAGGCAUGAAGCAGAGGCAGAGGCAGAGGCAGAGGCUUUAACCCACUGAGCCGCCCAGGCGCCCAGAGUGCUGGUAUUAUCCCCAUUUGAUAGAUGAAGAAAUUAACAUGCUGAAAGGUUGAAAAGCCUGCCGAUACCAUAUGCUAGUGAGCUGCAGAGCUGAGACCCAGGGCAGGCUCUGGGGUCUGUGCUCUUCCCACCACACAUUGCCUCUCAGUAUGGAAAAACGACAGGAAGGACAUUCCCUCAAAACCUUGUCUCUAGGAGAGCCUUCCAUGAUUCCUAAAGAUAGUGCGUCUCUUCUUCCUGCCAUGAGUGUUGCUGCCCAUCUUUCUGUCCACACAGCUUCUGACCUGAAGUACUGAGAGCUCAGACGUUGGAGCGGGCCAAGAAAUGGAGAGCUUGGAUCAACAGACUAGCAAGGAAACUGAGGGUGGACUCUGGGUGUCUACCUGGGUGAUGAACACUUUAAAAAACUGAU